GAACAGUGCACGCGUCCAGGAGCUCCAGUGGCAGUCCCAGGUGCGUAUGUGCAUUUACACAAUUUGUUGAAUCCUAGACGUACAUCGGGGACCUAGGAUACCUUGCUGGGCAAGUUCCGUAGCCAUCCCCGACCAGGGAUCGAUUGGUUUGUCCAGACCCAGUGUGUGUGUCGCGACGAUAACCGGCUAAAACAAACUACCGAGCCGGGAACUAACGUCUCACAUACAA